GUCAGCAGCUAAGGUCAAGUUUAGGACAAAGAAACGCUGCACAAGGAGGCUGAGAAAGAAGAAACAGGAUAGGGGAGAAGAUGUCUGUAGGACCCUGAGGAGUCUUCAGGUUACAAACAAUAACAAACACCACCAAAGGACAGGCUUCAGAAAAAUGGAAAAUUGAUCUAACAAGGAAGAAGUAUUAUGAAGCAAUGUUAAAAAGAAAUUGGUAAUAAUUGCCAACAGAGAAAACCCUUCAAAGAGAGUUGCUGCUUUUCCUAAGGGUUUCCAAGGAUCCAAAAACCUUCGGAAGUUCCAAGGAUCAAGUCCCAGGAUCUAAGCUGGACCUUUCCUGGAACAAAUUCCUUCAGACAAAUUCUCCACCAGACCAUCAACUCAGGAGGGCAAACAAGGAACUUGUUUUCAAGAGCUGGAGCCAAACCACCCAGAGUUUCCUGUGCCAGGUGAGCAUGAAGAGGGGCCGAAGUCACCCAUUACUAACCCCUCACCCAUGACUGCCUGAAAGGUAUGUCUCAGGCUUUAACCAUGAAACCUGUUUCCUCUCUCCCCUCCAAAGUCCAGCCCAGAGAGGCAUGAUAAAAUCACUUAGCAAAUGGAAAAUAUUUUGUGCUUAUUCUAAGAAAUGUGAUCCAUCAAAAAUGAGCUGACAAGUCAUUUCAUUUCCAAGGACAGUGUCCACAUACUCCAGGCAGCCUCUGGACCUGGAAUAAGACACAUCUAAGCCACAGGCCAGUAAGGACCAUACAGCUAUAACGUUAUGAGUGAUUCUGUAGCAUGGUUUUAAGGCACCAGCUGCACAGUCAGACUGCCUGGUUUCAGCCCAGCUCCCUCAUUUGCUAGCUGUGAAAACUGGGUGAAUUGCUUAAGCAACCCUUAAUGACAUUUUGUUGUUUUAAAAACGGCAAUAAUAAUAAUACUCCCUUCUUCAUAUGAUUGUUUUGAGAUUUGGAUAAGGCAAUAGGUGCUUUAUUCGAUAAGGACCCUAGAACAUACAAAUCUAUUUUAAAAAUGCUAUUAAUAUGGUUUUGCCCUAAAAAGGCAGGUUCUUCUGUUUCUCAAAUCUGACAAAGUUUUGUCAGACUCUUGAAUUCUCAUUAAUAGUUCCAACACAGACUAUUAAUGCUGUUAGUUUUGACCAAAUACAUGACUCAUGAAUUAACUAACUCUUACUUGGUAAUCUGAAGGAAUCAAUAAAAUCCACACUUAAUUCCCCCUAAAUCAACUGAACAACUAUGGACUAUGGAAUUGGGGAGAUCUGUCUAAAUGGCAGCAAUAUCAACUACGAAAAAUAUUUAUUUAGAGUCUGGGUAGGUACCAAGUUCAAUGAACUGCUUAGAGAGUCUGUGUUGCUUUGGUGACUGUUCUAGGCAGUGCUAAUUUUGCUACAAUUUCCUUUCUUAAGUAAGUCACAACCAGAAUAAAAACAAAGUUCUAGAAAUCCCAUAUUUUUACAAACUGGAUUGAUGAAACCAGUUUUUAAAAUAUCAGAGGACCAGACUGAAAAAGAAACCAGGUGUAGCAAAAGGCAACUCUUCUGGAAACUGAAAAUUCAAAGAAACAUGGUAAUCUCACUGUAUUAAUUUUCUUUUCCUCUUGUAACAAAUUACCACAAGCUUAGUGGCUUAAAACAACACAAAUUUAUAUCCUACAGUUUGUGGAGAAGUAUGAAGUGGGUCUUCCAGGGCUAAAAUCAGUGCUGGUAGAGAGGGGGUACAGAGAAUCUGUUCCUAUUCUUUUCAGCUUCUAGAGAAAGCCUGGGUUCCUUGGCUCAAAGUUUCUUCCAGCAGGGGCAUCUCUCUGACCUCUGUUUCCACUGCCUCAGCUCCUACUCUCACUCGAACCCUCCUGCAUCCCUCUUAUAGGAACCCUUGUGAUUACACUGAGCCUUCUCAAUCAAUGCAGGAUAAUCUUCUAUCUAUCUCAAGACCCGUAAUGUAAUCACAUCUGCAAAGUCCCUUUUGCCAUUUGAGGUAACAAAUCCAUAGGCUCCAAGAAUUAAGAUAUGGACAUCUUUUAGGGGACCAUUCUUCUGACUACCAUACUCCCCUAGCUGAAGAAUUAUUGUGUGAAACAGGGAUAAAGGCAGAACUAAUAUAAAUGAGUCAAAGUGGCCAGGAGGUGAAAUUUGGCUCCAAACAGAAGAAUCUCAAUAAUGAUAAGAGGUGAGUGAAAAAGGACAGGAGCUUUUGAGGAGGAUGUGGGCUCUUUAUCACUAGGGCUGAGCCUCUCUUUCUAAACAUUCACUCCCUCUGCCCAUGUUGGGGUUUUGAUUGCAUGGCAUUUGAGGGUCUUUCCAAUUUUAAGCUUCCAGGUCUUUGAAAAUUUGGAAGGUGUGUCAGUCAGUGUAUAGGCUAGGCUAUGCUGGGUAACAACCAAUCCCCCAAAUCUCAGUGAUUUCAAUCAACACAUCCAUUGUUGGACUGCAUUAGCUCUGGUCGUUGUGGUCCUCUAGGGACUAAAGAGACACCACCACUGCAGACAUAGCUAGCCACAGUGCCAGCAGGAUAGAGAGUUCUGGAGGGUCUAGAAAGAGCAACUGAUACCCUGGUCCACAAGGGUCACACAACACUUACACUAACAGCUCCUCAGUCAGAACUAGUCACAAGUCUCUGGCCAACUAAAAGGAAGACCAGGAUAAAGAGCCAAUCUGGAAGGCAAAGAAACAGAAAUAUUGACGAGUGCAAAUAGUGACUGUGACAGGAAACAAUUGACCCUCUCCAUCAAUCAAUUCACAGAUUUUAGUCAUAAAAGGAGUCAUAAAACUCUUUUGACCCCUAAAGAGUUUUUCUAAACAGGGUGACGGUCAAUCGAUUAUCCUAGGCUCACUGAUGCAACAAGAUUGUCUUAAGCAUGUUCUUCUUUCUUGAUUUUAGCUCCAUGGUUAGGGUUUCACUUUCAAAAGAUUAAUAAUAAGGUGAUAAUGAUGAUGAUAAUGAUGAUGAUGAUGGUAAUGCAUGCUUUUUGAAAAUCACAGUGUACUGAGCAUUGUACUCAGCAUUUUCCACAUUUAUUUUUUGAAUCUCAGGCAUAGAGGCAUGAGUGAAUCACACUUCUGAUUUCAUAGCAUACUUCUAUUGUAAGACUCAUACAAAGACUCUCUCAUGGUGUAUUUUAUUCAUGUGUCCCCUCUCCUCAUUUUAUCAACCAUAAUGUCUUUGAUAUGAUACCUUAAUAUUUUGUAUAUUUUUGCAAAUUGUAUAGUGUUGUUGUUAUGUAGGUAUUUUUAAUUCUAUAAAAGUAUAUUCAUGUAUACUGGUUCUGUUUAUUUCUUCCUUACAUUCGGAUCUUACUGCAUUU
rnacentral:lncRNA from 1 species